rnacentral:rRNA from 1 species
AACGAACGCUGGCGGCAUGCCUAACACAUGCAAGUCGAACGAGACCUUCGGGUCUAGUGGCGGACGGGUGAGUAACGCGUGGGAACCUGUACUUCAGUGGGGGAUAACGACGGGAAACUGUCGCUAAUACCGCAUACGCCCUACGGGGGAAAGAUUUAUCGCUGAAGGAUGGGCCCGCGUCGGAUUAGCUAGUUGGUGAGGUAAUGGCUCACCAAGGCGACGAUCCGUAGCUGGUCUAAGAGGAUGACCAGCCACACUGGGACUGAGACACGGCCCAGACUCCUACGGGAGGCAGCAGUGGGGAAUAUUGGACAAUGGGGGAAACCCUGAUCCAGCAAUGCCGCGUGAGUGAUGAAGGCCUUAGGGUUGUAAAGCUCUUUCGACGGGGACGAUGAUGACGGUACCCGUAGAAGAAGCCCCGGCUAACUUCGUGCCAGCCGCCGCCGUAACAC